rnacentral:lncRNA from 1 species
AGCAUAUGAAAGCAUCAGGGAAAUGAACAGAAUGAAGUGACCUAAGUCACAAAAUUGAAUAUUUGGAAAUGAGCGACUGGAGAAGUAUUGUUUGAAACCGAAAGGUUAAAGUGUAUUGGAAUCCAUAAGAGAAAUGAGAUUUGUACCAUAAAGUGAAAUAACUCUAACUGAUACGUAGACUAGCAGGCCGCCACUAUAGGGUGUUUA